AGGUCAUGGUGUGGGCAAUUUCUUAGCAAACUUUUGUACCUCUCCCACGCAUCAUAAAGGGACUCUCCGGGGUUGUUGUUCAAAGUUAGCAAUGGCCUUCUUCAACUU